rnacentral:rRNA from 1 species
GAUGAACGCUGGCGGCGUGCCUAAUACAUGCAAGUCGAGCGAACAGACGAGGAGCUUGCUCCUCUGACGUUAGCGGCGGACGGGUGAGUAACACGUGGAUAACCUACCUAUAAGACUGGGAUAACUUCGGGAAACCGGAGCUAAUACCGGAUAAUAUAUUGAACCGCAUGGUUCAAUAGUGAAAGACGGUUUUGCUGUCACUCAUAGAUGGAUCCGCGCCGCAUUAGCUAGUUGGUAAGGUAACGGCUUACCAAGGCAACGAUGCGUAGCCGACCUGAGAGGGUGAUCGGCCACACCGGAACUGAGACACGGUCCAGACUCCUACGGGAGGCAGCAGUAGGGAAUCUUCCGCAAUGGGCGAAAGCCUGACGGAGCAACGCCGCGUGAGUGAUGAAGGUCUUCGGAUCGUAAAACUCUGUUAUUAGGGAAGAACAAAUGUGUAAGUAACUAUGCACGUCUUGACGGUACCUAAUCAGAAAGUCACGGCUAACUACGUG